UCGGACUUCACGGCAUUUAGGCUUGAAGUCUUCGCAUUGAAAGUUCUUUUAAACAUACAACUACGUCUUCUGCUCCGUCGACGUCGGCCAAUGACUCGGUACCUCGUUCUAUUUCUGCAUUUUCCAACAUACAACCCGGUCUAGCAAACCUGCCGCCAUCCCUGACAACGAUGGGACGACUACCCACAAUGCAAAAUACACUGUUGCUGGAAGUCAAGCUUAUACAACGUCCAAAAACGGGAGGAUAUUAGUGUUGACCUAAGUGAUUACGAGGGUGACUAUAGUUAUGAAGACCUGAAGGAAUGCCAGCUGCACACUUUGCUAGAAGCAAUGUCGUGUGGCGGGAACAAGACGUGCUGGCGAGGUGUUUGUGGUGAGCAUAACUGGACCAAAAUACAUGAAAUGUAUCAUACUGACCGCACAUUCUAGACAUGACAUUACUUCUGCCACUUUCACGAAGAACAACUUCAAGAAUUGAAUGAUACGAAAUUUGUGCUGUAAGAGCCCAAUACUAGGAACCAGUGAACAAUUA